rnacentral:rRNA from 1 species
UACAGAGGGUGCGAGCGUUGUCCGGAAUCACUGGGCGUAAAGGGUGCGUAGGCGGUUCGUUAAGUCUGUCGUGAAAUCCCCGGGCUCAACCUGGGAAUGGCGAUGGAUACUGGCGAGCUAGAGUGUGUCAGAGGAUGGUGGAAUUCCCGGUGUAGCGGUGAAAUGCGUAGAGAUCGGGAGGAACAUCAGUGGCGAAGGCGGCCAUCUGGGACAACACUGACGCUGAAGCACGAAAGCGUGGGGAGCAAACAGG